rnacentral:rRNA from 1 species
UACGGGGGGAGCAAGCGUUGUUCGGAUUUACUGGGCGUAAAGGGCGCGUAGGCGGCCACCGCAAGUCGACUGUGAAAUCUCCGGGCUUAACUCGGAAAGGUCAGCCGAUACUGCGGGGCUAGAGUGCAGAAGGGGGCAACUGGAAUUCUCGGUGUAGCGGUGAAAUGCGUAGAUAUCGAGAAGAACACCGGUGGCGAAGGCGGCCAUCUGGACGGUGACUGACGCUGAGACGCGAAAGCGUGGGGAGCAAACAGG